GGGAAAGCAGCUAAGGUAUCCAUUCCCUGAGGGGAAAAAAGGCUGUUUGGAGCUGUUAGCAAUCUAGGAGGAGAAAGAAACUCUGUCCAAAUCGCACAAAGGGACCAGGAGAGAGAAACCACCCGCACAGAAUGUGAAAUGUAGUGAUUCAAUAAUUCUAAACAUUAUCUGAUGCCCACCAUGAUUUUAUUUUUAAGCAUUCUCUACACCCAGUGUGGGGAUCAAACUCACAACCCCAAGAUCGAGAGUCACAUGCUGUACUGACUGAGCCAGGAAAAAGAAGUGAGACAUUCAGAGUUGUUGGCUACUGGAGACUUUGGAAUGGGUCAAAUGUCAACUGAAGAGUACGGAUUGAUUGAGCACAUUCUUUAGUAUGUGCUUUCCAUUGUAAUCUCACUGAACAACUUGCAUACUCUGUCUGGGAAACACACUGCAAGGCCACCCUUGGAGCCACCAACUGAUCCCAAACACAACGAUCUUUUUAUUGUACUGCUGUCGUGUGGCAUUUCUGCAGUCAUGCUGAUUAGGCCAACCUUAUCCCAGCUACCUGAAGGACAGUCAUGAUGGAGAAGAAUGUUUGGGCUGCUUCUCUCUGUGGAGACUCAUCUGACCAAAGCCCAAUUUGAUGAACGUAAGGGCUGUAGGAUCCACUCUUCCAACUAGGUCCGCCCUGCUCUGAAGACCCACCUUCUUUUGGCUGGAAAAUGAAUCUGCGAACAUCUUUGAGAAGGAGUUACUGAACAUUGUGCAAACGACAGACAGCACUUAAGUUCCCAUUAGCUACCAGAAGAAAACUCAAAGUUUAUUAACGAGUAGCUGAUUGUCUUUAUCGCACCGAGGCUUACGUCUUAACACCCAAGAAGGAAGGAGUGAAAUCUGCCUCAGUACUUCCAUGGAAUUCCUUCUCGAAGUUUGAUUCAAUUCCUGUUCAUGUGUAAGACAUAAGCCUUAUGCCAUGAAAUUCCCAUUUUAACUGGUUGUCGGCUGUAAGUUAAUAUGCAGACUUAUUUCGCUUCUCCCCCUCCACGCUUGUGCACAAUGCUUUGAAUGUUCUGUGUUUUCCUUGCCUUUGAUUGCCAAUCCAUCCCGGGCUCUCAUUUCCUCCUCUCCUGCCUUUUGGCCGGCAUAAUUUUGGAACUUAAAAAAAAAAAAAAUGCAUCCUCUGUCUUUUCUCAUAGGCUCCAUUUGCAUUUUAGUCGAUUUUGGACAUUUUUUCUACAAUGUAUUCAAUAUGCUUUAUUUCCUGUUUUUAUAAGCUUUAUAUAACUUCAGAAAAAUGUGAUCCAAGGCAUGUCUGGGUGAGAGGUGGCUGUUAUUUUUUUACUGUGACAUGGAAGAUAUUGACCUGCAGUGUCUACACUGGGCAUAACUGUUUGCAGAGUUGUCUUUUUUCCUUUUAAUUUUAUUUUUGAGAGAGCACGAGCCAGGGAGAGGGGCAGAGGGAGAGGGAGAGCAAGAAUUUCAAGGAGGUUCCUCGUUCAGCUCAGAGUCCGACAUGGGGCUCCAUCCCAUGACUCUGGGAUCGUGACCUGAGCUGAAAUCAAGAAUCGGAGGCUCAACCGACUGAGCCACCCCUGCAGAGUUGUCUUUAGAUGACCGUGACCAGAGGUAUUUUCCAGGGUUCUUCAUCUUGGUCAGCUGGGUGCCCAGGAAGGCAGCUGGUAGGGCAUACUUGCAGGCAAUUAGCGUGUAUGCACUGAACACUCUAUCUCACCAAACCAAAAGGUGAGAUCAUUUCUGCUAUCCUUCCAUUGGCCCCACCUCCUUGUUUUCCAUGUUAACCCUACAGGUGACCUGUGAGCAAUGUGAGUUUGAACUAUGUGGGUCCACCUAUAUGUGGCGUCUUUUCAAUUAAUACCGUACAGUCCUAUAAAUGUAUUUUCUCUUGUGACUUUCUUCAUAACAUUUUCUUCUUUCUAGCUUCCUCCUCUGUAAGAAUGCAGCUUAUAGUACAUUCAACAUACAAACUACGUGUUAAUCGGCUGUUUGUGUUAUUGGUAAGGGUUCCAGUCAACAGUGGGCUAUUAGUCGUGAAGUUUUUGGAGGAGUCAGUUACAUAUGGAUUUUUGACUGCAUGGGAGGUCAGUGCCCUCAACCCCUACAUUGUUCAAGGGUCAACGGUAGUUGAUUUUACUCAGUAAAAUGCAUAAAUUGUAAGUGUUCAGCACAAGGAAUUUUGACAAAUGUAUGCACCCUGAUUACAACAUAAAACAAUUCCAUCAUUCUGGAAAGUUCUUUCACAUUUCUUUCUAGUCGAUUCCUAUUCUCACAGACCUCAACUACAGGUAAUCACUGACCUGCUUUCUGUCAUAUAAUUCAGUUUUCUAUGCUUAAGAACUUCCUAUAAAUGUACAUAUGUAUACAUAUGUAUACUUUCAUUUAUGCAUCAUUUCACUCAGUGUAUUGUUUUUGAGAUUUAUCUAUAUUAUGUAUAUCAGUAGUGUAUUCUUUUAUUUAUUUAUUUUUUUGCUCUGUAGUAUGCCUGUAUGAAUGUACCACAAUUUGUUGACCCAUUUUUCUUUUUUUUUAAUUUUUAAAAGUUUAUUUUUGAGAGAGAGAGAGAGAGACAGACAGACAGAGACAGAGCACAAGCAGGGGAGGGGCAUAGCUAGAGGGAAACACAGAAUUAGAAGCAGGCUCCAGCCUCUGAUCUGUCUGCACAGAGCCCGACGUGGGGUUUGAACCCAUGAAUGGCAAGAUCAUGAACUGAGCUGAAGUGGGACACUCAACUGAUUGAGCCACCCGACCCCGAUCCAUUUUUCUAUUGAUGGACAUCUGGGCUAUUUUCAAAUUUUUCUUUUUUUUUUUUUUUCGAGUUUAUUUAUUUUGAGACAGAGAGAGACUGAGAGAAAGGGUGGUGGGGGGUGGCGGGGCAGAGUGUGCACCAGCAGGGGAGGGGCAGAGAGAAAGGGAGAGAGAGAAUCCCAAGAAGGCUCUGCACUGUCAGCACACAGCCCAAUGUGGGGUUGGAACUCACGAACCAUGACCUGAGCUGAAGUCAAGAGUCUGACACUUAACCGACCAAGCCACCCAAGUGCUCCCAAUUUUUUUCUUUUUAUUCAUAAAGCUGCUAUUGAUGGACAGGUCUUUUUAGGAACAUAUACAUUUGCUUCUCUUGGUCUAUAUCUAGCAGUGUUAUUGCUAGGCCACAGGGUAGAUGAAUAUUUAAAUGUAUCAGAGAAUGCCAGUGUUUUCAAAAUGAUCGUACAGUUUUAAACUCUCACCAGCAAUAUGUGAGAGUUCUAAUUGUUCCACGUCCUUGUCAACACUUAGUAGAGUUAGUUUUUAAUUUUAGCUAUUAUUGUAAUUGGGUAAAGGUAGCUCAUUGCGGUUUUACUUUGUACUUCCUGAUGGCUAAAGAUGUUGAGCACCAUUUCAUAUGCCUAUUGAAUGUCUUUGUCCAUUCUGGAUUGUAUAAUGAGAAUGCCACAGACUGGGUGCCUUAACUGCUAACAUUUAGUUUUUAUAGUUCUGGAGACUUGGAAGAGACCAUUUCUUGGCUUGUAGAGAGCCAUUUUCUUGCUGUAUCCUCGCAUGCCAGGGAGAAAGAGAGAUAGACACAUAGAGGGAUAGAGAAAUAAAGAUGGGGCCGGCUCUUGUGUUCCUUCUUAUAAAGGGCGCUAACUAAUCACCUCCUAAUGACU